UACGGGGGGGGCAAGCGUUGUUCGGAUUUACUGGGCGUAAAGGGCGCGUAGGCGGCGCAACAAGUCACUUGUGAAAUCUCCGGGCUUAACCCGGAGCGGUCAAGUGAUACUGUCGUGCUAGAGUGCGGAAGGGGCUACUGGAAUUCUCGGUGUAGCGGUGAAAUGCGUAGAUAUCGAGAGGAACACCUGCGGCGAAGGCGGGUAGCUGGGCCGACACUGACGCUGAUGCGCGAAAGCCAGGGGAGCGAACGGG
rnacentral:rRNA from 1 species